rnacentral:rRNA from 1 species
AUCCUGGCUCAGAACGAACGCUGGCGGCAGGCUUAACACAUGCAAGUCGAGCGCCCCGCAAGGGGAGCGGCAGACGGGUGAGUAACGCGUGGGAACGUACCCUUUACUACGGAAUAACGCAGGGAAACUUGUGCUAAUACCGUAUGUGCCCUUCGGGGGAAAGAUUUAUCGGUAAGGGAUCGGCCCGCGUUGGAUUAGCUAGUUGGUGGGGUAAAGGCCUACCAAGGCGACGAUCCAUAGCUGGUCUGAGAGGAUGAUCAGCCACAUUGGGACUGAGACACGGCCCAAACUCCUACGGGAGGCAGCAGUGGGGAAUAUUGGACAAUGGGCGCAAGCCUGAUCCAGCCAUGCCGCGUGAGUGAUGAAGGCCCUAGGGUUGUAAAGCUCUUUCACCGGAGAAGAUAAUG